GAAAAGAAGAACUUUGUCUAUUUGGAUCUACCAUGGACUAUCAGGAUUUGGCAGCUUUUGCGAAUAAGACAGAUUUCUGAAGUAUAUCUUGAAGCGAACAAAGCCAAAUUGGAGAUGUUGCCAAGGGACGAGGGCCUUAUUUUACCAUGGCUGUAUAUUUUGUUUAUUUUUUGUGUCAGGAACCUUUGUUGUUGUUGAUUUUAACUUGAGUACUGCUUUCAUUUUUGAAUGAAUUCUGUUGGUGUUGUCAGUUGUGCCA